GAGGAGUUUGUGCUAUCCUCCGGAGAGGGACCGUUUGCCGUCACCAUCAAACGUUUUGCUACGGCAGACUCCUCCUCCUCCUCCUCCUCCUCCUCCGGCGAUGGCGCGGAAGCGCCUCAUCCAACCAGCCGCCCUCGAUUCGGCAGCGGGAGCAACAUCGACUCCUCCGGUCUUCCAGAUGAUAGUGGCGACUCGCACAAUCUGUCAUCUUACAUGGGGUUGCCAUCAAACCUUGCUCCCGCGAAUGCUGAAUACGCGCCACGGGUCGAAAGCGGCGCACCUCUUGUUGGGGAUGUGCUAAACGGGACCGCUACAGAUGUGGUCGCUAAACAGCGAGGACUGCAACUGCAACGCUUCUCCACAGUGGACAGCAGUGCAAGAGAUGAGCGUUCGAUGCCUCAUGAGUCGUCUCGCUCGUCGUCCUCCGCUGAUUUGGCACCUUUCCGUCAACGCGGCGGUGGCGCGACGGCGGCCGCCGGCGCCCAACAUCGACUUUCCCAAGAGCCACUUGUUCACGCACCUGCCGCAUCCCUAGCGAGGGAAACGCCUCCUCGAGGCCGCUCUGCCGCUGGCGAAGACGCUGCGGCGCCUUCUCCAAAAGAGAUGGACGACGCGACGGUGGCAGGAGACUCUUCGAGGCGGCGAUUGCCUCAGUCUCGCAGUCAUGUUGCACCGGUCACACAGCCGUGUGCCGGCAGUCCUUCUUCUUCUGCUGUCGUGGCUACUGUGCCCGAGUCGAAACCCGCCCCUGUGGCGGCACAGUCAUUGACGCUCCCUGAGGCAUGCAAACGCUUCGGCCACGGGCACGAUGGUGCCGCAGCAUGUGGAGCUUUUACUCGAGCGCCAAAGAAGUCGAGACCAGCACCGGCAGCGGCGGAGGUUCAGCAGCCGCAGUCGCAGCGGCAGUCGGGGGAUGCUGAGCCGAGGAGCCCAUCGUCGGGCGGGGCCCACACAAGGGUGCCUCAGUGGACGUGCCAUAUGAAAAAGAAGGAUGGCCAGUACGUCACUUGCGUCCGCGUGACAAACCCUACGGCUCUCUAUGACAGAGGCAUCAACGGGCUUCGAAGAGCGUCGGCCAAGCGGGAGGCGAUGCGUGCGAAGUUGGAGGAGGCCGCCCUGGCCGAGGCGACGUUUCACCCCACUAUCUCUCCUCGCGUCCGCGCGCUCAAGCGCAGCGGCGACAGCGCCGGCGCUGCCCACGAUUCCUCUGCGCAGCUUCGGUACCGCCUCCAGCUUCUAGAGCUGCCGGAUGAGCCGGCACAUGCGGCGCACCGCCACACCCCUCGACUUUCACACACGUCGGAGAUGAUCGUCCGAGCGUGCCGCGGGCGCCGCGGUGCCGAGCCACCCCCGGAAGAGCGGCUGUACCGAGACUACUUCUACCGGCAGCAGGCUAUCGAAGAGGCGCGGCUGGUGACGGCGUCACCGGCGGUGGUGCGGAGCAAGCGCCACAUCGAUGCGCACAUCGCAGAGCUCUAUUCGUUCGAGCAGCAGCGGCAACGCGCCAUCGCGGCGGCUCGCGACGCACUCCUGUCAGCUUCUUCGGAGGCGCACCGUCGCCUCUGCGUGGACCCUCGAGCGCUGGUGGAGCGCCUGACAAAGCCGCGCUCUCCGUCGCAGCAGCGCAGCGCCGCUGCUCAGCUGGAGAAAGACCCGUGCCCCUUCCACCCGCAGACAAGCGCAAGCUCCGCGGAGCUGGUUCAUCAAGCCCGCCUGCGUGGUCUACACCGGUGGGUGCGCUACUUCUGCGACGCCGACAUUCUUUCGAUGGCCGUGCUGUCUACGUUUCAGGGUCAAGCCGCCCAAGAGGCGGCGACGCUGUCCGCCGUGCUACGGCGACACAGCCCCACCAAAACUGAGUGGAGCGUCGAAGAACUCGCUGACGCCUUUGUCAAUGAUGCGGGGGACAAUUCCUUUAUCGCGGAGCUGUGGCGUCGUCGUCCCCCUAUCGGUGAGGCGUCCGCCGCACUGGGCGAGCUGACACACCGUCCUUGCCUCAACCCCAAGAGUGCCAUGAUCGUGGACAAGAUGAAUGCAGAGCACCGGGGCGGACCGACACACGACCGCCUGUUUCUCAACGCGAGGGCGAAGCAGCUGUCCCAGAGGCAGCAGGAGCUGGAGGAGGAGCAGGCCUCUCUCGAGGACAAGCAGCGCGAACAGAAGCGGCGGCAGCGCCUGCAAGCCGCCUGGCGGGCACAGGAGGCUCAACGGCUUGAGGCGUAUCGGGCGGAAAAAGCGGAGGAGCGCCGCAAAAGCGCAGCCGCGGAAGCAUCCGCAGCAGAGGAGCGGCUACAUCCUUGCACCACUUCUUGCUCUCGCCAACUUUUUAUGCCCUCAUCGUCUCCUCAGCUUCGCAGCGGCGGGCGUGCCAGCGUGCCGCCGUCUGCGUCGCCGAGGCAGUCUAGUGCUGCCGCAACGGAUGCUGUUAUUCUCAAACCACGCUCUUACACCCCGUCGAUGCCAACAGCUUCAUCCACUCGGCCGCCAGAGGUCUCGCGCGUCAGGGGAAGCAACACCGACAACACUACGACAGCCAGAAACAAAGGUAGCGGUGGCAACGGCAGGGGCUCUGGCUGCCCCUCUCCUGCUUUCCAUCCGACGACAACUUCAGCGCAGGCUGCUCCAGCGGCACAGUGCUUGACGAGCAGUAUUCCCCGAAACGUCGAGGACUGGCCGGUGGCUAACAAGCAGGAACUAGACAGAGCUGCCGAGGCUCUUCGCGAUCUUCUCGUGGACCCGGCACGCUCCUGCAGGGCAUCUCCGCAGGGAUCCGCUGCCUCAUCACAGCGCUCCCUUUCGGCUGCUACAUGCUUCACCCCCUGCGACGUGAAUCGCCCACUCGACAGUCAGUGCAAGUUGCACGCACCCUCCCUCGAUGUCUUGCUCGUGUGCGCUCAGCUGCGAGAUUCCCGAGCGUUCCCUGCCGGCGAGCGGGAGAGACUGGACAGGGCCCAAAAGCGGCAACUGCGCGAGCUCGGGCGCCUCCUCUACAGCCGCUACAUGUCGAGAGUACACGGCAAAAUUAGCACGUGAGAGAAAGUGGGAGCGGUAGAUAUUAGAAGGCGCAUUAUUGGGAGGAAGGGAGGUAGGGGGGCAGCAAGGGUAGUCACUGCAACGCACGUACACCUGCACAUGCGCCAACCCCCCUUCUUCGUUAUACAGACACGUGACACAUGGCUUCUCCAUGCGCCGUGAUUGCCUCCUUUUUUUUUGCUUUACUUUUC
rnacentral:misc_RNA from 1 species